rnacentral:rRNA from 1 species
AACGAACGCUGGCGGCAUGCCUAACACAUGCAAGUCGAACGAGACCUUCGGGUCUAGUGGCGCACGGGUGCGUAACGCGUGGGAACCUGCCCUUAGGUUCGGAAUAACUCCCCGAAAGGGGUGCUAAUACCGGAUAAUGUCUUCGGACCAAAGAUUUAUCGCCUUUGGAUGGGCCCGCGUUGGAUUAGCUAGUUGGUAGGGUAAAAGCCUACCAAGGCGACGAUCCAUAGCUGGUCUGAGAGGAUGAUCAGCCACACUGGGACGGAGACACGGCCCAGACUCCUACGGGAGGCAGCAGUGGGGAAUAUAGGACAAUGGGCGAAAGCCUGAUCCAGCAAUGCCGGGUGAGUGAUGAAGGCCUUAGGGUUGUAAAGCUCUUUUACCCGGGAUGAUAAUGACAGUACCGGGAGAAUAAGCUCCGGCUAACUCCGUG